rnacentral:rRNA from 1 species
GUAAGUCUCAGUUCGGACUGAAGGCUGAAAUUCGCCUUUAUGAAGCCGGAAUUGCUAGUAAUGGCAGGUCAGCAUACUGCCGUGAAUACGUUCCCGGGCCUUGUACACACCGCCCGUCACACCAUGAGAGUUGGGAAUACCCGAAGCCUGUGAGCUAACUUUUAGAGGCAGCAGUCGAAGGUAGAAUCAAUGAUUGGGGUGAAGUCGUAACAAGGUACC